UGCCAACCAGCUAGCCCGCCCAAACAAAAACAACAACUCAAUAUUUAUAACCCCUAAUUCACUUCCCAACAUGAAACAAAUCAUUUUACCCCCCUAGUAUGGGCGACAGAAAAG
rnacentral:rRNA from 1 species